AGCGGCUCUUGGGAGGCUGCGUCCGCGCGCCGGCGGGGCGGGGCGGCCGGGCCCUGCGCGUCAGGCCUGAGACCUGGGAGGAAGCUGGAGAAAAGAUGCCCUCUGAAUCUUUGUGUUUGGCUGCCCAGGCUCGCCUCGACUCCAAAUGGUUGAAAACAGAUAUACAGCUUGCAUUCACAAGAGAUGGGCUCUGUGGUCUGUGGAAUGAAAUGGUUAAAGAUGGAGAAAUUGUAUACACUGGAACAGAAUCAACCCAGAACGGAUAGCUCCCUCCUGGAAAAGAGUCAUUUUUUACAGGUCAGAACUGUAGAAAUAAUGAGAAAGUGACACUUGUACGCAUAGCUGAUUUGGAGAACCAUAAUAACGAUGGAGGCUUCUGGACUGUGAUUGACGGGAAAGUGUAUGAUAUAAAGGACUUCCAGACACAGUCGUUAACAGAAAAUAGUAUUCUUGCUCAGUUUGCAGGGGAAGACCCAGUGGUAGCUUUGGAAGCUGCUUUGCAGUUUGAAGACACCCGGGAAU
rnacentral:lncRNA from 1 species